AGCAGGUCUCCCUCAUGGGCACAAGAUGGCUUAAAUUAGCAUAAGAGCGUCAAUAAGCAAGAGGCUUGCAGCUCAGAUACCAGGCUGCUGGAGAAUGGGAGAACCAAAAUAGACUGGAUGUCCAGUCACCCUCCUAGAAUUCCCCAUCUGCUCUGAUGAAGUUCUGGAGACACCCAAGGUAAAACUUGUCCAGCAGAGUGUUGA
rnacentral:lncRNA from 1 species